GACGUUUUGAACGCAGUUGUUAAAGCGAAUGUAGCGUAUAAUCAAAUAUGAAUUUUUGAUUAUACGCUACAUUCGCUUUAACAACUGCGUUCAA
rnacentral:pre_miRNA from 1 species